AGUUUCGGUGGAAACUUGAUGAGGUUAUGUGAACCAUCACUUCAACCAGUGUGUGUAGCAGGGCGCAGGAAGUUGUUCCUCUCGCGCCUACACCAAUUGAAGUGGAAGCUGAUGAUAAUGAUCAUGAAGAUUCGGAUCAAGUCACUACCGAACCUCGUAGGUCGACAAGGACGCGUACUACUCUAGAGUGGUACGGUAACCCUGUCUUGAAG
rnacentral:lncRNA from 1 species